UGGACUCCAAGCCUGUAUGCUCAUCUAU
rnacentral:piRNA from 1 species